GUAGGUGGCAAGCGUUGUCCGGAAUUAUUGGGCGUAAAGCGCGCGCAGGCGGUUCUUUAAGUCUGAUGUGAAAGCCCACGGCUCAACCGUGGAGGGUCAUUGGAAACUGGAGAACUUGAGUACAGAAGAGGAAAGCGGAAUUCCACGUGUAGCGGUGAAAUGCGUAGAGAUGUGGAGGAACACCAGUGGCGAAGGCGGCUUUCUGGUCUGUAACUGACGCUGAGGCGCGAAAGCGUGGGGAGCAAACAGGGAUUAGAUACCCUGGUAGUCCACGCCGUAAGCGAUGAGUGCUAAGUGUUAGGGGGUUUUCCGCCCCCCUUAGUGCUGCAGCUAACGCAUUAAGCACUCCGCCUGGGAGUACGGCCGCAAGGCUA
rnacentral:rRNA from 1 species